rnacentral:rRNA from 1 species
UACGGGGGGGUGCAAGCGUUGUUCGGAAUUAUUGGGCGUAAAGCGCGUGUAGGCGGUUUGUUAAGUCUGUUGUGAAAGCCCUGGGCUCAACCCAGGAAGUGCACUGGAUACUGGCAGACUUGAAUACGGGAGAGGGUAGUGGAAUUCCUGGUGUAGGAGUGAAAUCCGUAGAUAUCAGGAGGAACACCGGUGGCGAAGGCGGCUACCUGGACCGAUAUUGACGCUGAGACGCGAAAGCGUGGGUAGCAAACAGG